rnacentral:rRNA from 1 species
AGAACGAACGCUGGCGGCAUGCCUAAUACAUGCAAGUCGAACGAACUCUUCGGAGUUAGUGGCGCACGGGUGCGUAACGCGUGGGAAUCUGCCCCUUGGUUCGGAAUAACAGUUGGAAACGACUGCUAAUACCGGAUGAAUGACGAAAAGUCCAAAGAUUUAUCGCCAAGGGAUGAGCCCGCGUAGGAUUAGCUAGUUGGUGAGGUAAAGGCUCACCAAGGCAACGAUCCUUAGCUGGUCUGAGAGGAUGAGUCAGCCACACGUGGGACUGAGACACGGCCCAGACUCCUACGGGAGCAGCAGUAGGGAAUAUGGACAAUGGGCAAAGCCUGAAUCCAGCAAUGACCGCGUGAGUGAUAGAAGGCCGUUAGGGUUAGUAAAGUCCUUCGUUUUACCCGAGUAUGAUAAGUGUACAGUAUACGGAAGAAAUAACGACCCGCUAAACGUCCGUCGACCAGCACGCCGUUAGGU